rnacentral:rRNA from 1 species
UACGUAGGCAGCAAGCGUUGUUCGGAGUUACUGGGCGUAAAGGGUGUGUAGGCGGUUAUUUAAGUUUGGUGUGAAAUCUCCCGGCUCAACCGGGAGGGUGCGCCGAAUACUGAAUGACUUGGAGUGCGGGAGAGGAAAGUGGAAUUCCUGGUGUAGCGGUGAAAUGCGUAGAUAUCAGGAGGAACACCGGUGGUGUAGACGGCUUUCUGGACCGUAUCUGACGCUGAGACACGAAAGCGUGGGGAGCAAACAGG